rnacentral:sRNA from 1 species
GAUGCGUGCGGGGAGCUCCGGGCUGGUGAGGUUGUACGUACGGGGCGCUGUGGGUGAAGAGCGCCGGGGGAGCCUUUACGCGGGGCAGCAAUGACAACGCGCGAUUUUAAAGGCGAGUGUCUAUUGCGUCUGCAGACAUGGAUUUCAACCAGCUGGAGGCAUUCUUGACUGCUCAAACCAAAAAGCAAGGUGGGGUCACAUCUGACCAAGCUGCUGUCAUUUCCAAAUUCUGGAAGAGCCACAAGACAAAAAUCCGUGAGAGCCUCAUGAACCAGAGCCGCUGGAAUAGCGGGCUUCGGGGCCUGAGCUGGAGAGUUGAUGGCAAGUCUCAGUCAAGGCACUCAGCUCAAAUACACACACCUGUUGCCAUUAUAGAGCUGGAAUUAGGCAAAUAUGGACAGGAAUCUGAAUUUCUGUGUUUGGAAUUUGACGAGGUCAAAGUCAACCAAAUUCUGAAGACGCUGUCAGAGGUAGAAGAAAGUAUCAACACACUGAUCAGCCAGCCUAACUGAAGAUGGUGUAUGAGGAAGUUGGAGUUGUUGAAACCAAGUUGUUCAUGAUCUGUACCGCUGACCUUUUUUAAAAAAAUUCUUGUGCCCGCAUUGGUAUUAAAUCCUCGCAUUCAAUC